AGAGUUUGAUCCUGGCUCAGGACGAACGCUGGCGGCGUGCCUAACACAUGCAAGUCGAGCGGAGACAGUAAGUAGCAAUACGAACUGUUUUAGCGGCGGACGGGUGAGUAACGCGUGAGCAACCUGUCCCAAACAGGGGGAUAACGAACCGAAAGGUUCACUAAUACCGCAUAAGACCACAGAGUCACAUGGCUCAGGGGUCAAAGGAGAAAUCCGGUUUGGGGUGGGCUCGCGUCUGAUUAGCUAGUUGGUGGGGUAACGGCCUACCAAGGCGACGAUCAGUAGCCGACCUGAGAGGGUGAUCGGCCACAUUGGAACUGAGACACGGUCCAAACUCCUACGGGAGGCAGCAGUGGGGAAUAUUGGGCAAUGGGCGAAAGCCUGACCCAGCAACGCCGCGUGAAGGAAGAAGGUUUUCGGAUCGUAAACUUCUAUCCUUGGUGAAGAUAAUGACGGUAGCCAAGAAGGAAGCCCCGGCUAACUACGUGCCAGCAGCCGCGGUAAUACGUAGGGGGCAAGCGUUGUCCGGAAUGAUUGGGCGUAAAGGGCGCGUAGGCGGCCUGGUAAGUCUGGAGUGAAAGUCCUGCUUUUAAGGCGGGAAUUGCUUUGGAUACUGCUGGGCUUGAGUGCAGGAGAGGUAAGUGGAAUUCCCGGUGUAGCGGUGAAAUGCGUAGAGAUCGGGAGGAACACCAGUGGCGAAGGCGACUUACUGGACUGUAACUGACGCUGAGGCGCGAAAGUGUGGGGAGCAAACAGGAUUAGAUACCCUGGUAGUCCACACUGUAAACGAUGAAUGCUAGGUGUAGGGGGUAUCGACCCCUUCUGUGCCGGAGUUAAC
rnacentral:rRNA from 1 species